UACGUAGGCAGCAAGCGUUGUUCGGAGUUACUGGGCGUAAAGGGUGUGUAGGCGGUUAUUUAAGUUUGGUGUGAAAUCUCCCGGCUCAACCGGGAGGGUGCGCCGAAUACUGAAUGACUUGGAGUGCGGGAGAGGAAAGUGGAAUUCCUGGUGUAGCGGUGAAAUGCGUAGAUAUCAGGAGGAACACCGGUGGUGUAGACGGCCAGCUGGGAUACACCUGACACUGAGGCGCGAAGGCGUGGGGAGCGAACGGG
rnacentral:rRNA from 1 species